rnacentral:RNase_P_RNA from 1 species
GAGGAAAGUCCGGACUCCAUAUCAGGAAUUGUUGUUGAAGAAAUUUCAGUAUAAGUAAUUGUGAGGAAAGUGCCACAGAAAUAUACCGCUUUAUAUAUAUUAUGUCUAUAUUAAUAAGCAAGGGUGCAAAGGUGUAUUAAGAGUACACCAGAAAUACUGUUAAACUAUUUGCUGGGUAAACCCCGUCAAGGAGUAAAGUUAACGAGCGCUGUUGCGACUUAUAUAUCUCUGAUUAAAUAAAAAUAAUAUACAUAAAGAGCUUGUGAAUCAAAUACCGCAUAAAGUAUGAAGUACUUGAGAAGUACUACUAAAGAUUAAUAACUACCCUUCGCAUUUAUCUUAAGAAGAACAGAAUCCGGCUUAU